UACAGAGGGGGCAAGCGUUAUUCGGAAUCACUGGGCUUAAAGGGCGCGUAGGCGGAUUUGCAAGUCUGCGGUGAAAUCCUCCAGCUUAACUGGAGAAGUGCCGUGGAUACUGCGAGUCUCGAGGAAGGUAGGGGCAUCUGGAACUGCCGGUGGAGCGGUGAAAUGCGUUGAUAUCGGCAGGAACUCCGGUGGCGAAGGCGAGAUGCUGGAUCUUUUCUGACGCUGAGGCGCGAAAGCCAGGGGAGCAAACGGG
rnacentral:rRNA from 1 species